GAUAGUAAAAUUUAGGGUUUCAUUAAUAGGAAACUCUAAACUUCACAUUUCUUCUUUACAUCAUCUUCUUCCCGCCGCUGACUCUUCGUCUGCUACUUUUGAAAGCGAAAAUUUUAGCCGCCGUCCAUCUGUUUUUCUUGCGUCUGUCACGUGUCCAUUUUUAGACACCCAUGUCAUGACCGUGUUGGGACCCUGUCCGACCUCUUUUUUUUUAUGUAUUCCGGCUUGUCCAGUAUGUAUCCGGGCAUGUCCGACGAGUGUCCGUGUUGGACACACGUACAAUAUUGGUACGAGGAGGAAUGAGCCGUGUCCGUGCUUCCUAGUUUAUAAACAAAUUUCCUUGGUUUUUUUGCCUUGGGUAGUUCUCUGGCGAAUGGUGUGACCAACGGAGUGCUUAAGAAUACAUAAAGCCUGGUGAAUGCAAAUGGUUCAGCAGUUAAUGCUCGUCUUUAUCUACUAUUUUGAAGAAAACCUGAAGAUGACGUCCGACUGCGAAACUAGCUUGGUCUCAGCUAUUGCUCUAACAGUAAAGUAUCCCAUAAUACGGACUUCAAGGAAUUAACUUGAACUGCUUCAGAACGAAAGUCUGUCUCUUUUGGUGCAGUAAGCUCGGAAAAUCUUGCUUAAUAUUCACCAUAUUAUAUAUUUUAGAGAUACACUAAUUUCUUUAUUUAAUAUAAUAAUGAUGACGACUUUUUCAUCAGAAAGCUAAACUUAUCAUCCCAUACAUGAAUAUAUUUAUGUAUAUGUAUAUUACAUUAUUCAAAUAUUUUAUUUUUUUAACUGGACAUCAAAUUAGUUGGGUAUGACUAAAAUAGCAUUGCUUUUUCUUUUUGGUACAAAAACCAAUCAUGUCUAGAGAGAACAUCCAUUAAACAGAAAAGAAAUUUCCCGUCUUGCUGCAGCAGCUGCUCACUUGCAAGUCUCAACCUGUUAUUAUCCCAGAGCUCCUAAAGGCUCAAAACUUUCAGUUUUCCAAUAGCCUCAACCCAAGGCCGAUACUUCCAAUGCCUUUUUGCAAUAGUUUCAGAAGCUUUUUUUUUUUUUUUCUCUCUCUAAGUAUUAUCAACCUGACUUGCAUCCCAAGUUUGAAAAUUGUUAAAACCUCUCUGAUAACAUGAAGUUUGCAGGAAGGCAGUCACUUUUUUGCUUCAAAACUACAUUAGAGCUGAGGAGAGCAUACGAUACCAUGCCCUUCCCUUUUAUCCAGGCAAUGUAAGCAGUUGGAAUAGCUUGCUGCAAAUGCACUAGAGAAGAUUGCACAGGUGUUUUGAGUCUU
rnacentral:lncRNA from 1 species